AUUGAACGCUGGCGGCAGGCCUAACACAUGCAAGUCGAACGAGUGGCGGACGGGUGAGUAAUGUCUGGGCAACUGCCUGAUGGAGGGGGAUAACAACUGGAAACGGUAGCUACUACCGCCUACCAUCGGAUGUGCCCAGAUGGGAUUAUCUAGUAGGUGGGGUAAAGGCUCACCUGGGCGCCGAUCCCUAGCUGGUCUGAGAGGAUGACCAGCCACACUGGAACUGAGACACGGUCCAGACUCCUACGGGAGGCAGCAGUGGGGAAUAUUGCACAAUGGGCGCAAGCCUUAUUCAGCCAUGCCGCGUGUGUGAAGAAGGCCUUCGGGGUGUAAAGUACUUUCAGCAGGGAGGCGUUACCCACAGAAGAAGCACCGGCUAACUCCGUGCCAGCAGCCGCGGUAAUUC
rnacentral:rRNA from 1 species